rnacentral:rRNA from 1 species
ACAGCUCAGUAACACGUAGGUAAUCUACCCUUCGGACAGGCAUAACCCCGGGAAACUGGGGCUAAUUCCUGAUAGGCACCCCCUUCUGGAAUGUGGGGAUGUCCAAAGCUCCGGCGCCGAAGGAUGGGCCUGCGGCCGAUUAGGUUGUUGGCGGGGUAACAGCCCACCAAGCCGACGAUCGGUACGGGCAGUGAGAGCUGUAGCCCGGAGAUGGGGACUGAGACAAGGCCCCAGGCCCUACGGGGCGCAGCAGGCGCGAAACCUUCACAAUGCACGAAAGUGUGAUGAGGGUACUCCGAGUGCGCAUACAUUGUAUGUGCUUUUCUGCAGCGUAAAUAGUUGCAGGAAUAAGGGCUGGGCAAGACCGGUGCCAGCCGCCGCGGUAACACCGGCAGCCCUAGUGGUGGCCGCUUUUAUUGGGCCUAAAGCGUCCGUAGCCGGAUAGGCAAGUCUUUGGGUAAAUCCUACGUCUUAAGCGUGGGAAUUCUAAAGAUACUACCUGUCUUGAGGCCGGGAGAGGCUAGAGGUACUCCUGGGGUAGGGGUAAAAUCCUAUAAUCCUGGGGGGACCACCGAUGGCGAAGGCAUCUAGCUGGAACGGGCCUGACGGUGAGGGACGAAACCCAGGGGAGCGAGCCGGAUUAGAUACCCGGGUAGUCCUGGGCGUAAAUGAUGUGGGCUUGGUGUGAGCGCAUCGACGAGGUGCGUUUGUGCCGUAGGGAAGCCGUUAAGCCCACCGCCUGGGGAGUACGGUCGCAAGGCUGAAACUUAAAGGAAUUGGCGGGGGAG